GAUACGUAUCGGAGGGUAUCGUAUCGGUAUCGGAGAUACUUAAAACCAUGGACUUAAGUUAUUAUAUGAAGAUGGUACACAUUGGAUGGAGAUACUUUUUUUCUCUGGGAUGUUUGGAUCACGGUCUGAAAGUGUUAUUUCUUUUUUGGACAAAUAUGUGCAUAAGAACACCACAUUGAAACUUGAAAGAAUUUGUUGAUCAAUACAAAGACAAUCUUCAGAAUAUAUAUAAAGAUGAAUCUGGUGCAGAUUUCUCAUGGCAUGGAACACCUGCACUGAGGUCUCACUCACCUUAUGAGAAGCAAAGGUCGAAAUUCUCUACUCAUGAAAUUUUUAAGAAGUUUCAACUUCAGAUUAUGGGAAUAGUUGCAUGCCUGAUAAGAAAGGAGACAGUAGAUGGGGCAACCUCAAGAUUUAGGGUCCAAGACUUUGAGGUGCAGGAAGAAUUCAGAGUGGAUUUGGAUGAAAAAAAAACAGAGCAGAGGUGUCCUGUUUUGUCGUAUGUUUGAAUUCAAUUGCUUUCUUUGCAAGCAUGCAAUGGUUGUUUUCCAUCAUGCAGCUGUGCCUGAGAUCCCGUCUCACUACAUAUUAAAGAGACGGACAGUAGACGCAAAGAGCAAUUACUUCACAGGGCAGAGAACAAAUGAAGUGCAAUCUAGGGAGCAACACUACGAUGAUUUGUCAGAGGGUAUUGAAAUUUUUUGAAUAUGUGCCAUUAUCACAAGAGAGCUACAACAUUGCAAUCCGUGCACUGGAAGAAGCUGCAAAUGGAUUUCUGUCUGCGAAUAACUCUAUUGAGAAUGCUACAAUGCCUCAUGAAUGAGGUACUCAUGUUAUUCAAAACAUCAACAAAGCGAGCCAAUGCAACAACAGAAUGUUCACACUCAAGAUGCUCGAUUCUUUCAUGACCAAGACAGGAGGACCUUGUAAGGCUUUGAAGGGUGGUGCAGAUAAGAAGAGAAAAAGAGGCAAUGCCAAUCAAAAGUCAAAUGAUUUUUUUGUGGGAGGGUUCUCUAUAAGGGCAGUGUAAGAAGGAAUCUGCACACCAUCAAUGAAGUACUGGAAAAUGGUAUCAUCCGUAUGGAAUCCACAUGGUCAGAAAAGGAGAGAGUGUGUGUCAGUGUGGCUCCACUGUUUAUUUAUUUAUUUAUUUAUUGGGUUUGAUGCUUUCCUACAAAAUUUCUGGUCAUGGACGUAUGAUCUGGGAUGCAAAUUUGAUUCAUAAACCUCUUGAGUUAAUGGAAACUGUGGCAGUCAAACUUCUUAUGUACUAGGGCAGAUGGAGAUCAUCCUUGAAGCCCAUGAAAGUUAUAAUAGUGGUGACCCCAGAAAACUAUAAGCCAGCUUCAGGGAAAACUGGAACUGGUUCUACUACAGGUAGGGUAGGAGUGAUCCAGUGUCAACAAUACAACAGAGCAUUUAGUUUAGGCAGAUUGUUUACUACUAUCUUGUAUUAUGGUCCUUCAAGUAAAGACUUCCACAAAUUUAUGAUAUUUUAUUUUAUUUUUUUACUCAGGGAUUUCGUAAACGAAAACUGAUCCCUCUUGAAGCCUAUUCUAUAUGUGUUAAACUGAUUUUUUCCACAAAACUGUUCUUGUAAUUUUCUACA